rnacentral:hammerhead_ribozyme from 1 species
AUCCAACUAACAGGUCCGAAAUAGGACGACACGCGCGUCCUGGAU